rfam:Deltaproteobacteria bacterium 13_1_40CM_3_69_14 13_1_40cm_3_scaffold_4028, whole genome shotgun sequence.
UCCGGUGGCUACAUCGGAGGGGUCCCACCCGUUCCCAUCCCGAACACGGUAGUUAAGCCCUCCAGAGCCGAUGGUACUGCACGGUUUCCGUGUGGGAGAGUAGGUCGCUGCCGGAA